rnacentral:rRNA from 1 species
UCUGCAACUCGACUCCAUGAAGCUGGAUUCGCUAGUAAUCGCGCAUCAGCCAUGGCGCGGUGAAUACGUUCCCGGGCCUUGUACACACCGCCCGUCAAGCCAUGGGAGUCGGGAGUGCCUGAAGUUCGUGACCGUCACAGGAGCGACCUAAGGCAAGACCGAUGACUGGGGCCAAGUCGUAACAAGGUAAC